rnacentral:rRNA from 1 species
CCUACGGGAGGCAGCAGUGAGGAAUAUUGGUCAAUGGGCGAGAGCCUGAACCAGCCAAGUCGCGUGAGGGAGUACUGCCCUAUGGGUUGUAAACCUCUUUUGUCGGGGAGCAAAAGCCGGACGUGUCCGGCUGUGAGAGUACCCGAAGAAAAAACAUCGGCUAACGCCGGUCCAGCAGCCGCGGUAAUACGGAGGAUGCGGGCGUUAUCCGGAUUUAUUGGGUUUAAAGGGUGCGCAGGGGGAUUUUCAAGGCAGCGGUCAAAUCAUGGGGCUCAACCCCAUCCAGCCGUUGAAACUGGGGAUCUUGAGUGUGCGAGAGGUAUGCGGAAUGCGUGGUGUAGCGGUGAAAUGCAUAGAUAUCACGCAGAACCCCGAUUGCGAAGGCAGCAUACCGGUGCACAACUGACGCUCAGGCACGAAAGCGUGGGUAUCGAACAGGAUUAGAUACCCCUGUAGUC